GUUAGGAAUAUUGGACAAUGGGCGCAAGCCUGAUCCAGCCAUGCCGCGUGAACGAUGAAGGCCUUCGGGUUGUAAAGUUCUUUAGCCGAUGAUUAUAAUGACUGUAGUCGGAAAAUAAGCCCCGGCUAACUUCGUGCCAGCAGCCGCGGUAAUACGAAGGGGGCGAGCGUUAUUCGGAAUCACUGGGCGUAAAGCGUGCGUAGGCGGUCUCGUAAGUUAGGAGUGAAAGCCCAGGGCUCAACCUUGGAAUUGCUCUUAAAACUGCAAGUCUAGAAUCUCGGAGAGGAUAGCGGAAUUUCCAGUGUAGCAGUGAAAUGCAUAGAUAUUGGAAGGAACACCAGUGGCGUAAGCGGCUAUCUGGACGAGUAUUGACGCUGAGGCACGAAAGCGUGGGGAUCAAACAGGAUUAGAAACCCUUGUAGUCC
rnacentral:rRNA from 1 species